GGUUCUAUAGUGUAGUGGUUAUCACUCGGGAUUUUGAGAAGCCUUGCCUUCCGGAAAUUCCCGCGACCCCGGUUCGAUCCCGGGUAGGACCU